ACCCCCAGCCAACGUUCUAGAGCUGGCGGUGCGAGAACCCUACGCCGGUUGCGCACAUUGCCUUGUUUAAGGUGGGCCGACCAGGGCCCCCAUCUCCGUCACCGACGUAAAGCGGUUCCGAGAAUGUCCGUGGCGUCGCGCGGAGCCCUCCAGACGCUGUUUACGUAGCGUCUGGGCCGUGCGUAGCGUUAAGUUGGAGCGGUCUCCGCGGCCGCCGCCAUUUUGUGCAGUUGCUGGGAAGGAAGGGAGACGCCUCAACCGUGGCACCGCCCGGUUUGAGCGGGACCAGACCUCCCGACUGUCCUAACAACCCCGAUUCUCUGAGUUGUGCUCCCGUCUCCGACGAGAGAGGCGGCGACGGUGGCGUCUGCGACGGGAGACAGCGCGUCGGAGCGAGACAGCGCCGCGCCUGCCGCCGCCCCAACAGCGGAGGCGCCGCCGCCGCCAUCGGUCAUCACUAGACCCGAGCCGCAGGCCCUCCCGAGCUCGGUCAUCCGUGCCCCGCUCCCAGAUCUUUAUCCGUUUGGGACCAUGCGUGGAGGCGGCUUUGGGGAUCGGGAUCGUGACAGGGACCGUGGAGGGUUUGGAGCAAGAGGUGGUAGUGGGCUUCCCCCUAAGAAGUUUGGUAAUCCUGGGGAGCGGUUACGAAAAAAGAAGUGGGAUUUGAGUGAACUCCCUAAAUUUGAGAAGAAUUUUUAUGUUGAGCAUCCAGAAGUAGCAAGACUGACUCCGUAUGAGGUUGAUGAGCUACGGCGUAAGAAAGAGAUUACAGUGAGAGGGGGAGAUGUUUGUCCAAAACCUGUCUUUGCCUUCCAUCAUGCUAACUUUCCACAGUAUGUGAUGGAUGUGCUGAUGGAUCAGCACUUUACAGAACCCACUCCCAUUCAGUGCCAGGGAUUUCCUUUGGCUCUUAGUGGCAGGGAUAUGGUUGGCAUUGCACAGACUGGCUCUGGGAAGACAUUGGCGUAUUUGCUGCCUGCGAUUGUUCAUAUAAACCACCAGCCAUACUUGGAAAGAGGAGAUGGUCCAAUUUGUCUAGUGCUGGCUCCUACCAGAGAGCUUGCGCAGCAGGUGCAGCAGGUGGCUGACGAUUAUGGAAAAUGCUCCAGGUUGAAGAGUACGUGCAUUUACGGAGGUGCUCCUAAAGGUCCCCAAAUUCGAGACUUGGAAAGAGGUGUUGAGAUUUGCAUAGCCACUCCUGGGCGCCUAAUAGAUUUCCUGGAGUCAGGAAAGACAAACCUUCGCCGAUGUACUUACCUUGUGUUGGAUGAGGCUGACCGGAUGCUUGAUAUGGGCUUUGAGCCCCAGAUCCGUAAAAUUGUUGAUCAAAUCAGGCCUGACCGGCAGACACUGAUGUGGAGUGCAACCUGGCCGAAGGAAGUGAGGCAGCUUGCAGAGGAUUUCCUGCGGGACUACACCCAGAUCAAUGUGGGCAAUCUGGAGCUGAGUGCCAACCACAACAUCCUACAGAUUGUAGAUGUCUGUAUGGAGAGUGAAAAAGACCACAAAUUGAUCCAGCUGAUGGAGGAAAUCAUGGCGGAAAAGGAAAAUAAGACUAUAAUAUUUGUGGAGACAAAGAGGCGCUGUGAUGACCUCACACGAAGAAUGCGCAGAGAUGGUUGGCCUGCUAUGUGUAUCCAUGGAGACAAGAGUCAACCAGAAAGAGAUUGGGUACUUAAUGAGUUCCGAUCUGGAAAGGCUCCUAUCCUCAUUGCCACGGAUGUAGCCUCCCGUGGGCUAGGUUUGUAUAGAUAGGUGUCUCUAUCAGUGCUUUGUUUAUCUUUUGGUUUAAAAAAUUUUUUUUGUCAUGUCAGAUUUGCAAUUGUAUGUACAUGAGUCUAGUUAAAAGAGGGUAUAAGUGUGAUUUUUUUUUUUUCCCUCCCUGCAACUUUCUUUUAACCUUCAUGGGGGUUUUAUUAUUAUUUUGGGUUUUCUGUGGUUCCCACCCCGUUUAUUUUCAAAGUUCCGUCUGGCUCCUAGCAGUCUUUGGUCUGUAACAAGGCUUAGACAUGACUAUUAAAUUACAGUUUUAUGGCUGGAUAGAAGGAGCCUAAUUAGACCUAGCCAUCAGAAGCUGGUUUCUUUAGUUUUCCCUUAUACUAGUCUGUUUACUAUAGAAACAGGGAGACCACUUCAUGAACAUUCACUCAGGGGUUUUGAUUGCUCUCUAUAUAAUGUCAUUCUAUUCAGUCUGCAUUGCCCAGUAUUACUUCAGUAAUAUGAUUGUCAGUUAUCCCUCCCUUUACCCGUUGUUUGGCCUUAGACAUGUUUUCCGGUUUAGAACUUGAUCUGAAGAUAAUCUGAAGUUUUCAACUCCUGCUUUAAAAUACAUACAGAUAGCCAGCCUAUGACACGCUGACCCAGAAUGUUUACAUGUAUAAGGAUUAUCUGGGUGUGGUAAUACACACCUUUGAUCCCCACACUUGGGAGACAGAGGCAUGGUUUCCUUAGUUUGAGGCAAACCUGGUAUGCAUAGUGAGUUGUAGACCAGCCAGGGCUACACUGCUAGGCUCUGUCUCCAGAAAAAGAUUUCUUACAGCUAGGCAUGGUAGUAUAUGCCUGUAAAUUCCAGCACUUGGAAACCUUAGGCAAGAGAUUCAUUUGUUUGAGGGCAACCUACGUUAAAUAGCAGGGUCUUGUUUUAGAGAGCUGGGGUGAUUUCUGUUGGGAGGGAACCAUUAUUGAUGUGUUUAAUUUCCUGCUGAGUAAGGUGAGAAGUACCAAGUUUCCCUGUGCAAUUUAACAUAGAGAUGAUAAGUAUUGAAAUGAGUUCAGCAGUGAUGGAGCCUUUUUAUCCAUUCAAUUUUACUCCUCCUUGAGGUAGUGAGUGACCUGCAGCCAUGGUGGGAAGUUGUCUCUUCCUUCCGAGGUCAUCUCUGGGUCUGUGCCCUUAGAACCGGGGCCUGGGAGAGGAGGCAGAAGCCUGAAAGCAAUUUACAUAAAAAGCUUUCAGUAAUGGUGGUUUUUAAAACAGGCUUGCUAUGUGCUGGUAGCUUCUUUGUGCAUCUUGCCUAGACAAUUAAAAAUUUGUUCUGUCCUUUUGCAUAUUUUAAAAUCAAUUGGCUACCAUUAGAAUAACUUAGACUCUUCAUCCCACCCUCCCUCAUUCAAGUGAGGGAGAGGGAAGGUGCCUGAGUCUGUUUCUUGUUACUCAACAUCAGUGCUUGUUUUGGGCCCCUUUGUUUGCUGCCUUGUAAAAAUCAAAAGGAGGGAGAAAACCCACCACAAAUGGCAGAAUUCUGACCAAGGUCCUCCAAGAUCCUGGAAAGUGAAGGCUUCUACCUCAGACAGGGGUGCUAUUUUCAGCUGAGUCACCAGGCCUUUUUUCACUUCUGUGGAGCGAUGGUCUCUUAAAUGAUCCCUUCAGGUAAGUUCUUUGACUCCCAUAGUUCCUAAUAGUCAUCUUGAGGUGACCACUGUUCCCUUUCCACUGGGAUAUUUUUUAUUUUGCUUUUUUCUUUUUUUUCUUUUUCUUUUUUUUUCUUUUUUUGUUUAAACUACACACUGUUGAACUAAAAGUAUUGAAUUUAUUUCAUUUUGUUUUUUAACAGAAGCUUUGAUAUCAACUGCAGAUCACUCAGUACAUGGCUGAGGCAAAUCUCCAUUGGCCCGAAGCCACUCUAGAUGAGCCUGCUGACUCUCCCAGUUAGUGAGUGGAGUUUCAGGCCAUGGCAUAGGGCUUUCCAAACCACAUGUUCUCCCAGGCCAGGGGCCAAACAUAUAACUUUGCAUUUCUUACCCUGCUACAGCAUCGUCUAUAAAGACAGCAAGAUAAUAUUGUGGCAGUGCACCAGUAACCUCAGGGCAGCCUGGGCUGGAGAAACCCGAUUCUAGGCUUGCUCUUAGGUGGCCUUCAGUCAGCUGUGCACACACAGGACACCCUUCUAGCAUGAAGAACUUUUGCACCGUGUCCACCCCUUAUCGAGCCCCUCCAGAAGUACUCCCAGCUGUUAGCCUCUGAAGCCCCAGUGCUUGCUGCUUGGAAAGCACGCUUCCGUGCAUCCAGUGCAGUAACUCAGCGUGCUCUGUGUCCAUGGCCACUCAGUGCGAGUGACUGCGGAGCAUUAGUGAAGCUUGAAGAAGUGCUCAUGGAGUUAACCCCCGCCCCGCCCCGCCUCACCCUUCCAUCCUUGCCCCGUUAUAUUUUUUUCUUGUGGCAUCAACGACCCAAGCCGGAGACUCAAGCUGCCCCCUGUGAUAAGUGCCUUCUCGUCUUUCUGGUGUGAUUCAGGACUUUAGGGGUCAGUAAAGACUGAGGAGCCUUUAUCGUAAUAAGAAACAGACAUAAUGCCCCUACUUCACAUGCCCCUAACAACAGCUGAAUUUUUUUAAAAAUCAUCUCCCCCUUACCCCUGAAAUUAAUCCAGUCUGGGCAAUAGAUGCAGUCUGACCCUUUGGAUGUAACUUUUUUUUUUUUAAUUUUUCUACAAUCACCCCAAUUACCUUGGGGAGGCGUUGGAGGACCUGAAAUUUUUACCUGAACCCAGGUUCUCCGGCGCUUGGCAACCAAAUGGGGCUACAGAGAAGCAUCUAAGCCAGUUCACAGAGCGAGCGUGUGUGGGGACUUCUCACUGCCACGGACCCUUGAUGCAUGCUCCCCGCGCUCCAGUGGUCCCGUGUCAGAAGGCGGAGUUUUCGAAAGGAGGCCGCCAAAUAUAAAAGGCAAAGAGACGGGAUCGGCUGCAGCGGUUUCCCAAAGGAGGAGGGAGUGUGCAUCGGUCUGAUGUGGAAGAUGUCAAGUUUGUCAUCAACUACGAUUAUCCAAACAGCUCAGAGGAUUAUGUUCACCGUAUUGGCCGAACGGCCCGCAGCACCAACAAGGGCACUGCCUAUACUUUCUUUACCCCGGGCAACCUGAAGCAGGCUAGAGAGCUGAUCAAAGUAUUGGAAGAGGCCAAUCAAGCCAUCAAUCCAAAAUUGAUGCAGCUUGUGGACCACAGAGGUGGCGGCGGAGGAGGGGGAGGCCGCUCACGAUACCGGACUACUUCUUCAGCCAACAAUCCCAAUCUGAUGUAUCAGGACGAGUGUGACCGGAGGCUUCGAGGGGUCAAGGAUGGUGGCCGGAGAGAUUCUACAAGCUACAGGGAUCGUAGUGAAACCGAUAGAGCCAGUUAUGCUAAUGGCAGUGGCUAUGGAAGCCCAAAUUCUGCCUUUGGGGCACAAGCAGGCCAAUACACCUAUGCUCAAGGCACCUAUGGGGCAGCUGCCUAUGGCACCAGUGGCUACACGGCGCAGGAGUAUGCUGCUGGCACUUACGGGGCGAGCAGCACUGCCUCAGCAGGGAGGAGCUCUCAGAGCUCCAGCCAGCAGUUUAGUGGGAUAGGCCGAUCUGGGCAGCAGCCACAGCCACUGAUGUCACAGCAGUUUGCACAGCCUCCAGGAGCUACCAAUAUGAUAGGCUACAUGGGGCAGACUGCUUACCAGUACCCUCCCCCUCCCCCUCCCCCUCCUCCAUCUCGCAAAUGAAACUGCAUGGCAGGAGUGACUCGUGCAGAUGAAUUACACAUCUAAAGGAACACUGUCUUUUACCCUUCUAGACCUUUUCAUUUUUAUUUUUUCUUUUCUCAACCAUUACGGUUUAUCUUUUUUUAAUGCAGAUAGUUAAAAUUUCACUGCCAGGUUUCUUCUGCCCACCCAAAAGAUCCAGUCUAUAAUUACAGAUUUUGUAAGAAAAAAUAUAUAUACACAUAACUGACUGGAAAGAAUUAAUUUCUUUCCCCCAGCUUAAUGCAUGUUGAGGAUAUUGAGCUAUUUUUCAUCUUAAAGGUAUUAGGCACUUUUGUUGGAGCCUGUUUAUCCAUGGGAGGGUGGGUAGGGAAGGAGGGACUGCUCUGCAGGAAGUGGUAUCUGUUCUUUAGACUGCUCUCCUUAGGGAGGAGCCAAGAGGGAUUUCCAUGCACACUGCCCAUGGUGGGUUUAAGUUACUGAAGUUCGAUUACUCAGGCCUGAUGAAUUUUUAAGACUGCUUUGUUGGUCAUUUGGCUGAUGGCUUCUUAUGUGCAUUCAACAGUUAAAAAUUCCUAAUCGAUUCUGUCAUCAUGCCCCCUCCCCACUUGUUCCUGCAGUUAUUAAAUAUUAACCAGGUUAGUGUUGAGUUAGAAAUUACAUUUCUGAGUUCAAGCGUUGUCUUUUUAAGUUUAAAAAACUAUAAAGGGUUGUUUUUACUAGGUAGACUGGCAUCUGGGUAGAGGCUGCCUGGGAUUUUUAUCCCCACAUAACCAGGGGCCAUCUGAAAGUCAUUUUCUAGCCAGAUCAGCCACUGAGCGGUAAGCAUCAGCGCUCAGCAGAGCCUUCCGAGCAGCAUUUAGAAAGCACCUUUGGGAAUGAUGGACUGCAAGGGAGUGGGCGGAUCUUCCUCUUAAACAGUAUUCUUAGAGUAGGAUUGACCUCAUGGGCUGCUCUGCCCACUUGGUCAGGCUCUCCUGAGCAGGACUGCUAAAGAGCUUGCCUCCUCAAAGCCUGGUCUCUGAGGUGCUUUCUAACAGCUGGAGGCACUUGUUCUGGGCUUUCCUUUGCCCUCAGUUUUUCACAGGUAGGUAGUAGCCAUGGAGGGCUGAAGCCCAGGCUCUCCUUACUCUCUGGAGUGUGAAGGUAGGGGUGAGCUCGUCUCACCCCUUUAUUAAAUGCUCCUGGAACUUGGAAGAGCAGCAGAUGAAGUUGGAAAGAAAAUUCUGCUCUUAUCACCUAAACAGGACAGGAGAGCAGAUGCCCCAGCGCCUCUAGUAGAUGGUAGUGGUGGGGCUAGUGUGUGGCUGUUACCUGGGCCGCUCAAAUUCAUUCCAGGGAGGAGGCUCCACUGCAUUCUUUGGCUGUGCCCUGAGGGUGCCUGCUCCUUUGUACGGUAACAGUCAAUUUUGAGGUUUCUUUCAGGAAGAGAAAGGGAUGGUUUUGAGGGGCUCAGAAAAUAGGAUUCAGUGUGUAACAUAACAGGUAGGUUGUCAGCAUGCUUGGCAUUCUUCUGUUUUCCUUACCGUUUUACAGACUAUGAAGCUGAGGGGGGAUGGUAGGCACAGAUGUGUGGCAACCCUGCUCUGUGCUCUGAAACCAAAGUGUGUCCUGUCUUGUCUGUCUCUCACCCUGCCAAAAGCAAGUGUCUAAUCACUGAUGCUGACCAGCCUGUUACAGAUACUUUCUACAACCAAAUUCAGAUUUAUUUUUUAUUAAGCAUUAUACCAUGGGCUGUCCUGUGCUCCUGUCACUCUUCAAAAACACCCCUUCUAUUACUGCCUCCGGGGAUGAAGCAGUAGCUAGGUUGCUUAACCUCCCCUCUCCAGCAGAGGCAUAAUCCAGAUAAGUAGCAGAUGUCAUAUUUCAUAAGCUCUUUUGGCCUGGGUACAGCAGAAAACUAGCAGUUUUCCUACUUGGCGCAAGUGACUUGUGCCUCCUUGUCUGUCCUUUGUCAGCACAGGUGCAGGCAAACCCUUCCAGCUGGGUUAAUUGCCGUUUAUGGUUUACUCACUUAGGGAAAGGGCUUAGGUGUUAGGCUGUGGGCUGCUUCUCCCUAACCAUCCAUUGUGCAGACUUCUCAUCUAAAAAGGUUGGUGGCUUUUGCUUGGGAUCAGUGCUCUGCUAACGCCCUUGCUGGUCUCUCCACACAUUCCUGUCAUUGAGACUUGAAUUGUAGGUGUGAUGUUAUGCACAGGAUGCUCAGAGCUAUGUUACUACUAUUCUUAGUUUGUAAAUUGUCCUUUUGAUACCAUCUUGUUUUCUUUUGUAGGUAUAAAUAAAUACUUGACAAUAAA